rnacentral:tRNA from 1 species
GUCGCUAUAGUUUAGUGGUUAGAAUUCCUGCCUGUCACGCAGGGGGCCGGGGUUCGUUUCCCCGUGGUGGCG